rnacentral:lncRNA from 1 species
GCUCUGCAGGGCUCUGCUCAGCGACAAUGGUAUGCCAGACCCACUGGGGAGAACUCGGGGCCUCACUGUGUGUCCAGACCUGGCAGGACCCUCAAGACUCUUCCUCUCAGUGAGCACAAUUUGCAAAAGAGGCACUGCACGGUUGGGGGGGGGGCAGCCCAAGGUCAAACAAUUCCUGAAGGCUUCCAUCUGUCAACUGGGGACGCCUCUAUCAGGAAGAGACCAGAACAGGAGCCAACAAAUCAGACCUUGCCUGCUUAGCAUGCUGCCUGUUCCGCAAAGAUGUGUUCUAUCAGAACACAGCAUGUUCACUCCUAAGGUAGCCAUGUUUACCCCACGAUGGCAUAUUUGAGUAGCUGCAACAGAAAUCAGAUUAUCCACAAGCCCAGGGGAUCUCUUGACUGAAAAAUUACCCCCAGACACAAUGGCCACGUUUGGUAGUAGAACUCCCAGGGAAAGUGCGUUGGAUCUGGGAUCCCAUCCACUCUACCCUCCCCCCCACCUCCAUCCAAAGCUCCUGUUACAAUGGCUUGAAAACAUGUCUUCCUUCUGCCGAGCCUGAAGGUGCAUGAGGUUAGCACCAGGCAGUAGGUUCUACACUUACUUCCAAGAGAAGAGAAGUUCCUCCGCGAAUGGUCAGGAACCAGGGGACAAAGACAGCAGGCUGUCGUUCCAACACUGUACUCCCCCCCCCCCCAGCCAGGGCUCCCGCUGGAGCUUCCCCUCCCGCACUCACGGAGCAGCUGUGGCAAAGCCCCCAGGGGAAGAAGUCCCUGAACUGUGGUCACUACAUCCAAGGGCCUUGGACUCAGACCUACAUGGCUGUGUACAACUGAAUUGCCUCCCUCAGUACUCUGCUGGGGACCCCAAUCUGACCGAACACGGGGGUCCUCUACUCUCAGAUGACUCUGGGACACCUGAGUCCCCCACUGCUGAGGAAGCUGUCCUCACUUUCCUGCAAGAUCCAGCCACUCUCCCAAUAUAGGAACGCAAAACCGGAGCAGGCUAACACCCAGCAUAGAAGAAAACAGGGCAGGUCAUGUCCAAACAGCUGCGAAUGAACUACCGUCUCCUGCCUCGAAUGAACUACUGCCUCCAGCCUCGUAGCAACGAGUGAGCUUCACUAGACAUGGAGGGGCCAAGUUCAGAGACUGAGAGAGAAGUAAGGGACCCCCAUGUUGGUGAGAUAGAGCAGGAAGCUGCAUAUAAGCUUAGGUGGUCCGUUGGACAACCACAGUCUGCGAGCUACAAGGCUCAGGCACAACUCACCCUCUCAGCCUAGGAUCUCGUCACCGAGUUUUCAAGGGUCUCCCACAAACUGAUAACUGGAAGGGUGAGGUUCCAGGUUUCGGGCCACAGAGCAUGACAGGGUUCGAAAAGCUGGAGGGAGCUGGGGGUUUGUCUCGAGGGGCAGCUGCUAGGGGACCCAGCACAUUUCUUAUGACACUCACAUCUGGGUCUAGUUGCCAGGUUUUCAGACUUUUUUACCCCAAAAGACCCAAAAUAAGAAAAUUUCUUAAAAAGAUGAAUUAAUUAACAAUU